GCCCUCCUCCCUGAGCCUUACUGUGCAGGACGCGUCUGUUCAUCACAAAAAGGCUCAUUCCGCGUGGCUCUGCAGUGUGGCCUCUUCUUAACCUGAGCAACCCCUUCUCGAAGCUCAAUCCCAGUGGCCCGAGAGCCAAGAAUUCAGAACUGAACUCCACAUCCAGAAGGGCAAAACCAAGUCUUCCCAAGGACGGAAACCAGGUGCCCAGUCACAAACCAGUCAGCCCAGAAGCUCCCCAAACGCAGAACUGGCUCCCUCCCCUCGAAUAGGUUAGUGGGCGCGCUCAGGGUGGCUGGGCUGGUAUGGGUUCCUGUUCUACCAGCAGAACUUCUGCUCUAUGGAGUUUAUGCAAACACCCUGUGGUAGAAGGUCCGAAGGAGGAAGCGUGGUGAGCAGGUCAGGAAGACCACAUGCCU